AAGUCGUAACAAGGUUUCCGUAGGUGAACCUGCGGAAGGAUCAUUAACACGUAUCCAACGUUAAACCCCCCUGUGAACCUUCAGUGUGCUCGCACUUUCUUAGAAAAGGUAGCAAUCCCUGGUAAAUCAUUGCCGAACAGUUUUGAUUCAGGGACUUCUGCGUAGACUGGCCUGGCAUUCCUCUGCUUGUUGGUGUCUGAAAGUGUCACCAGCUCUGUACGAAUGGCGCAGUCACGAUCGCUAGAGGCCGACACGGCCGGCGACCGGGUCACUGGGCGCGAGCCCCCCUCGUCACCUUUGCAUGAAAACGGGCCUGGGCCACCAAACUCGAACAACUGUUAACAAUGGAUAUCUUGGUUCUC
rnacentral:misc_RNA from 1 species